UACGAAGGGGGCUAGCGUUGCUCGGAAUCACUGGGCGUAAAGGGCGCGUAGGCGGACUUUUAAGUCGGAGGUGAAAGCCCAGGGCUCAACCCUGGAAUUGCCUUCGAUACUGGGAGUCUUGAGUUCGGAAGAGGUUGGUGGAACUGCGAGUGUAGAGGUGAAAUUCGUAGAUAUUCGCAAGAACACCAGUGGCGAAGGCGGCUCACUGGCCCGGUACUGACGCUGAGGCUCGAAAGCGUGGGGAGCAAACAGG
rnacentral:rRNA from 1 species